GCUGGUGGAGGUGAUGACCCUUUUUUUCCCCGUCAGAGCGGUAGUGUUGAUUUCUCCCUGUUCAGGCCAGGUCGUGUCUGAUGCACCAGC
rnacentral:snoRNA from 1 species